ACGCACGCUGGCGGCGUGCUUAACACCUGCCAGUCGAACGGAAAGGCCCUGCUUUUGUGGGGUGCUCGAGUGGCGAACGGGUGAGUAACACGUGAGUAACCUGCCCUUGACUUUGGGAUAACUUCAGGAAACUGGGGCUAAUACCGGAUAGGAGCUCCUGCUGCAUGGUGGGGGUUGGAAAGUUUCGGCGGUUGGGGAUGGACUCGCGGCUUAUCAGCUUGUUGGUGGGGUAGUGGCUUACCAAGGCUUUGACGGGUAGCCGGCCUGAGAGGGUGACCGGCCACAUUGGGACUGAGAUACGGCCCAGACUCCUACGGGAGGCAGCAGUGGGGAAUAUUGCACAAUGGGCGGAAGCCUGAUGCAGCAACGCCGCGUGCGGGAUGACGGCCUUCGGGUUGUAAACCGCUUUCGCCUGUGACGAAGCGUGAGUGACGGGAAUGGGUAAAGAAGCACCGGCUAACGACG
rnacentral:rRNA from 1 species